UGAGGAUAAAUAUAUCUUAGGGUUGUACCUUCAAGUCUGGUAAUUCAAUCAGACAAGCACACUCCACAACAUCAACCCCAACACGUUCUGCAAUAAAGGGAGUAACAAACAGAACAACUAAGAAUGUAUUGAAAUGCUUAUGUUAAGCAUUAAACAGUAUAAAAUACACUUCCAAGUUAAACAGUCACUUCACUUGAAAACACCAUCUUUAAAAGGAUGGUAUUAGGUUCAUUACCCAGAAACAAGCUUUUCUCUUCUCAUUAAAAGCACAUCAUACAUGCAUUAUUUGUCUGAAUGUAUAAAUAAACAGAAAGAAGAAAACCAUGAAUGCUGAAACACUGAUAGGAUGAUCUCUUCUGUGGUUCAAUGGGUCCGAAGAAAGGAAAGUUAAAUGCACAAAAAGGAAGUACUUAAAUUCCACAACAAAUUUUACAUAGAAAUGCCCCUUAGAUUGAGAUGCCUAUAAGAACAUAAAAUGUGUAUGGGUGUAAUGCAGACAAAAUUAAAAUGUUGGAUUAAUAUCCUUCUAUAUUUUUCUUAACAAAUUAUGUAAUAGGACCCUUCCAGAGAGGGUAUAACUCAAGUAAACCAAAAAACUCAGAAAGACAAAGUGUAAAAUAAAACAAAGAGCAACAGAAUAAAGCAUACUGGUUUACUUCAGGAGAGAGGAAGAGAGAACACCAAAUACUGUCAUGCAUUCUAUUUCACAAGCAAUAAGGGAAAACAUCUUAAUGAACUUCAUCUAUUAUUUUGUGCAAAUAAACCAAAAAAGAAGUAUCAAAGAUAUAAUCAUGUAUCCCAGUGCCUAAGGCUCCUCACUUUACGAAGGAAUAAUUAUACACAGCCUUUCCGUUGCAUAUUCAAAGAAGCUAUUUCCUUAUUCGAGCCCAUGAUGAACUGGUCACCAAGGCAUAACUUCACCGUUAUGCCAAAGCUCAUCCUUGUACCAGGUAAUAUACUAUUAAACAGAAAUUCUUACCAGUGAUCUUGUCAGUUCUUCAUUUUCAUGAUAGUAUAUGGCACAUAUAUCCAAUAACUUUGGCAAUUCAAGCAACUUUUUCUCCUGCAAAAGAACUACAGGCAAAAUUAGUGAACAACGGUGAAUCACAACAAAAAAAGACAAAAUAUGAGGUAAUAUUACUCGACAAGAAUCCACAAUGGAAAUAAUUUUCCAAACACUUCCUAUUUCUUGUAUACAAAUAACAUUUCUAAAACAGCACAAAAUCAUUGUUCCAAUGCGAGUUCAAUCUCUGCCUGGGCCAAGACUUACAAAUGCACACAGUAUGUAUGUGCGCUGUCUUAACAAAGGAAUUAGUAAUAAAAAACAUGUAGUGGUCACUCAAACAAAAACGUCUAUAUUGUCCACAACCUAAAAAAAGUCAAAUGAUUUUCGCUAGGAUGCAAAUACAGGUAACUUCCGGCUGAUGAUGUCGACUGUUACGUUUGAGUGGAGGAGGAAGGGGUUUUAUUUUGUUCUUCAGCCAUAUCUGUAAGGAAAAACAAUAAGGAAAAAGAAAAUUCAGAAAAGCGAGAAUCGGAAACUGAUUGAGAAAGAAAAUGAAAAAGAACAAGAGAUUGAAACAAGAAAAUCAGAGUUACGCAACAGAGCUCUUCAAUUGAAGAGCUAUGAUACCAUAACACGAUUAGUGCAAAUCUGAGAUGAAGAUGCGCCUUGCGGGAGAUGGUUGAAGGAGUUCCAAUCUGUGAAAAAGAGCCCCUGCGUAGAAGACAAAAGCGCUUGUGCUUUGGAUCAAAAAGGGGGCUGCAACAUCAACGCUGUAAACAAACCAGUAUGAACACGAAAGGGUCUUUAUUCGAAGAACUGCAAUGCACACACAUUACAAAAAAUCACAGAUAAAAAAAACAGAGUCCAAAACAGAGCAUCACUCCAACUCAUGAGAAACUUACAUGCGAUACAAUACCAUGAAAAACGCGGCGACACAAAUCGCGCUCCCCAACAAUAACACCUGCAACAAUCCCUUUCACCCCGCGAUGAGGGAAAUCAUACCACAAGUCUAAUCUAAAAUGGGAAUUAGUUGAAAAGAACAGGUUAAUUAUGAGAAAAAUCUUAAAAAAAAUAAGAAAGAAACAAGAAGAAACUUGUUUAAAAGAUCGGAUCUUCUUUCAUCUAUU
rnacentral:lncRNA from 1 species